rnacentral:misc_RNA from 1 species
AAUCAUGGCGUUCACGUUUGCUGCGUUUUGCUACAUAGCCGCUCUUAUUUUUACUGCUGUGCUUAUAUUCUUCGUGAUAUUCCACAUAAUUGCAUUUGACGAGUUGAAAACAGACUACAAGAAUCCUAUAGACCAGUGUAACAGCUUGAAUCCGCUUGUGUUGCCUGAAUAUGCAAUACAGAUUCUCUACACAGUGCUGUUUGUGUUUGCCUGGCAGUUGGGGACUGUUCUCUUCAACCUGCCGCUGUUAGUGUAUCAUGUCAGAAGAUACAUGAACAGACCUGUCAUGAGCUCACCUGGUCUGUAUGACCCCACAACAAUAAUGAAUGCAGAUGAACUAAAUCGAGCACAGAGAGAAGGCUGGGUGAAACUGGCAUUUUAUCUGAUAUCAUUCUUCUAUUACCUUUACAGUAUGAUAUAUGUCCUGGUUUCCAACUGAGGAUGUGCUUGGUGUGGCGUGAAGAGGACAGCCAGUGUUUGUGUGAUGCAGAUGUUGACAUGGAAGUGACAAGUUGUCUGUGUAAAGUUAUGUUAGGGCUGACACAAGAUGGAAUCACAACAUUUAUCAUCAGAUAAUGUAGGCAGGAUAUUGUGCACAAUGCACAAAGGUUUGAGAACACAUUGAACAUGCUGUGACUUUAGGCUCUACUCUUAAGCUUGAGUCAAGUAAAAAGUAUUUCAUUCAAGUAGAUCUUUGCUAUUAAAGGUCCAUACAUUAACUCGAAAAUCUACUGAAAAUGAUAUCAGGUGAAGUCAGGCUAUGAGGUUAUUUGGCACAGACUGAAUUGUACUUUUUAAGUGAGGUCAUGUUAGUGGUGUCAUAUUUGUUUGUUUGAUUAAUGUUACAUCAUCUUAAAACUCUUCUAUAUUUACGUCAUCUUAAAGCCAGACUUCAGUUGUUCACUGUACCGGUAUACUGGGACCUUAACUUGUCAUAAAGCAUUUGACUAAGUAAGUGUAUAUUUGGUUUAAUUUUUCGAGGUUGUUAUUAAAAUACACAGUAGGUACGACUAGUCACGAGCAGUUCAGAUCUUCUAGCAAUGACUCCCACUGUAUACAAUAAUGCUUUACCUGAACUGACUGUGACAAGAUAUAUAAAGUUACGAUUGUGCAUUGUUUGUGUUAAUUUGAUUUCCUUUGUCACUAUAGUACCAGGUUUGUGUCCUAGAUUUAUGCAGAGUGUGAUAAUUGGUCUGUCACCAUUCUGUGGGGAGUAUGGAGAUCAGGAUAUGAAUACCCCAAGAAGAUUACAGUGUGGAUUUUUUGUCUGUUUAUGUGCACCAUGUUCCAUGUGGCCACAGUGACAAAUGGUUGUGACUCAACCAGCGUUUGUUAAGUUCACAUAACAGGUUCGUUUAGACUAAUCGUGUAAUGCUCUAUGUGAGAGGCAUUAAGGUAAAUACAGACCAGUAGUUAUCUAGUCUGAUGCUCAUGUCAUUGAUCACUGGCUUGUCUGGUCCAGACUCAGUUAUUUACAGACUGCUGCCAUGUAGCUGGAAUAUUGCUGAGUGCGACAUUAAACAACAAUUAAACCAAACCCUAGUUAUCAGUUAUUGUAACUCUUGCACUUUUGGAAAAGAAUCACACAUUAAAAUAUGAAUUCCUAAAUGGGUAGAUGUUUCCCAAAGUCAGGUGUAAGUGUGUGUCUUAUAAGACUGUUAUCCCUUUUAACAGUGUUAUAGUGACUGACGCCACACUUAAUCUUCACAUCAUAUGAUCAUAUGUAAAUAAAGGUGAAGCAAACUCUUUAGUCCAUCUUCUAAUGUUGUAUGUCUAACUUGAUGAUACUUGAGAUUUCAAUGGAUUGCUCAAAUGGCUUUUCCCUAAACUGACCCACCUUUUGUAUUGUUCUGGUGCUUUUCACAUUCUUACAUAUAGCUUUUUGUUACACGAUGUGUGUUUUGUGUUGUCAAGGAAGCUGUAGGUGGUAACAUUGGGGAUAGGUAGUGGGUGUGGUUUUGAAGAGGGUCGGUCUUGGAACAUAAAAUCUAAAAUCUAAGUGCUUGACCUACUUCAACUUUCAUGGUAGUUCAUUUUGCUAACAUGUUUUGUGUUCACUAAAUAGUCAAGUCUGGUCGAGACAGGUUUAGAUUAAAUUUUACUAAUCCAUGCAAUUAGGAUGCAACAACAUACGAACAACCAAUUCACCAAGCCGGACUACCUGAUACAUUUAGUCACAUCUCAUGACAAGCUUAGAUUGCACGAGGACCUUUAUUCUUACCCCGGAUUCUCACAGCUGUGAAAAAAGCAAAUUUACAGACCAUGAUACAUGGGGAGCAAUCAGAACACUAGAAUCCCUCUAUUGCUGACUCAGAAACAAAAUCACAAUACAAUGAGAGUUGCAAAAGAAAGCGGUGGAAUUUGUAAGGUAGUGAAAUGGAUAUAUAUCAGCAUACUUCCUCUUGAGGAAAGGGAAUAUAGGUUAUCACGCGAGUGUGUUUUGGGAUGGUUAAUAUCCUGCAGAAGGAAUAAUCAUUGUAUUUAGCUAGCCUUGGCGAGCUAAACACAUAGUGUUUAUUCCUAAUGCAGGAUAUUAACCAUCCCAAAACACAAGUGUGAUAACCUAUUUAUCAUACGUCAUUUUUGCUUUAUAAUUUAAAAAAAUGAGAUUUCAAAUGAAAUACUGGCUAUUGCAAUGUGAGUCACACUUUCUGAAAACUACAUUGUUCUUCAAAGCAGAAGAUAGAUUGUUUUCUGAUUGACGGCUUAACAAUGUCACUUGUCAUGUUAGUAGCUAGAUGCAUAUCAUGUGAUAUACUGACUUCUUCCAAUAUGUCCAAUGCAAUUAAUCAAAUGUAGUUUCAAAAUUAAUAGCACCUUCCAGGUAAUUUUCCCCAUUGAUGUGUCAGGGUGUGUCUAUAUUUUUGUAUUGUCUGUGUGUAUGCAGUGGCAUAGUUCCAUAUCCCAGUGCUUAUAUUCCAUUUACUGCCAAAUCAGAAGAUUGGCUCUUGUGAAGUAGAUAACCAGUGCUUUGUCAGUGAACAGGAAGUUGUGACAUAUCAAUCAAAAAUGUAUUUGAAUAUGUAUUUUGUAUUGUAUCAAGUGUACUGUGCUCAGCGUCGGGAUGACAUCUGAAGACUGUCUUUUGAUUGGUGUAUGAGAGUAAAGUUAAGAUCUACUGCCAAAGUUGGUUCAUGAUAACAGAAGUGAAAUCAUGAGCCUCUUUAAUUGUUGUUUUCGGUUUCUUUAAAGCAUUUUAAACACAUGUAUCAGCAAUUUCUUCCUGAGAGUUUAUGUGAUAUUAAGGACUUCUGCAUUUUGAUGUUUUAGUCCAAACGUAUAGGACUUUCCAAUUGAAAAUAUGAAGAAUUAUCACUCUCUGUCUUCACAGUUUUGCAUAAAUAUAUAAUGAAUUGCAUUUAACCUUUUAAAAUAUUCUAGAGAUUAAAAUGUGUAGGUAUAUUAUGUGUAGGUAUAUUAUAGUUUCAAUAUAUCCGAUGUCCUUAUUUUGUAGAAAAUGUUUAAAAAUGAGCACAUUUACAUAUAUUCCUUAAUUUGUUUUUGGCAGUGACAUUCCACUGAUUAUGUCAUUCAGUGCUGUGAUGUCAUGACGCCAUUACUAAAAUUGUAGCAACACUGCUCUACUUGACUUUUGCUACAAACAACAUGUGACAGUUGCAAACCAUGUUCUUUACUAACUUUGGCAAUUUUAUGUUUGGAUUUUUUUUUAUUUUAGUAGCAAAAACACUCCCAGUACAGAACCAUCUGAGUUGGUCCAUGAUCACAAAAGCAUGGCAGACAUCCUAAAAAAGAUUCCACUUUGGCUUUAGUUACUAAUUAUUUUUGUAAAAUCUUGUCAGUGAAACAGGAAUGAUUGUAUUAUAGUGGAAUAUAUGUUUAUUAAGUUAUGUAGGCACACUUCAGUGAGGGAAAAGUAUUAGGUGCAGAUAGUUUGGUGGUUUCACCACCUACAGAGUGAUGUACUGGUAGCGCUGAUGUUUGUUGGUAUGUGUGUUGAGGGGAAUGUACAGUAAGCAUUGGUUAAUCUAGAUAACCAAGUCAUGUACAGUGACACAUUUGUUUAUACACUUUGUUUCUGUGGUUGUUAUUACCUCUAUUUACUCAAGGCAAUGUACAUUUAACUUGUUUCAUCUGUGCUUGGUUUUGUAGACAUUUAGUUUAUAUUAAUAUUUUAUCAUUUUUCCCAGUUGGCUAUUUUCAGUUCUGUAUUACUGAUAAUUAUUUUUGAUCUCAGGUCUAUGUUUUGGGAGCCUUUUGUUAAUUACUCAACAGAAAAGUGAAUUCCACUUCACCACCUUGUCUCACACUGUUAAGUCUUCUUGCUUUUCUGUUUUCAACCUAGGUUUGUGUACGAUUGAAAACUACCAGUUCUGAUACUUUAGCCUUGCUUAUUAUGUUUGUCUUCAUUUUAAUGACUCACACUUCUACAUGCCUUUUUGCUGCCAAAACCUUGGAGUUGUUUCAUGUUUCUUUGCUUUGCCUGUAAUGUGUAUGUUGCACAUUUAAUGGUGAAGAGAAAGAUAGUAGAAAGGAAAAAAGAAACCAAUGAAAACUAGUCGGGUUGUUUGCAGAAAAUUGCAAACUAAUAAUCUGAUAAUAAUCAGCACAACUCUUUUGGUGGUUUUUGAGAUUUUGAGAAAUCAAAGAAUGACAACUAGUUUUCCUUACCUUCAUACAUACCUCCAUACAGGGCAAGUUCUAUAAAGUGAAUGUCAAGGUUAUUCUGAAUAUAAAAUGACCAUGAAUAAACUUCACUUUCAGUGAUGGGAAAUGGUGUCCUUCACUGCUCAGAUAUUGUUAGUUAUGCUUCAGUGGUAUCCUUGUUUGAUUGAACAUUAGCCAUGUAACCAGAAACAGGCAAGUUUAACAUUUAGGAGAGGUCAGCUUUAGAACUUGUGGAAUUCUUUGUUAUUUUCAUAUUUGGUCCAUUGGUGAAGUCUAGUGAUUGGUUCAUUCUCUCUGGACAGUGGUUAGUUUAGGACAUAAUUACAAAUGUAUUCUGAUCAUUAUUCAUGCCAUCAGGUGAAAAUAAAUAGCUGAUACUUGUGUAGCUUAAAGGAAACAUACAAUAUAUGAAAGGAGAGAAAUUCAUUUUUCUGAUCAUCCUUGAUUUACGAGUGUGUUAUGUCUUUGUUUAUAUAUACCCUUGACCAUAGCUUCAUCUUGAGACAGAUUCAAACGUCAUGACACUUAGAAGCGAGAGAAGCUAUGUGCCAUGUUAGAGAUAGGAGCAAUGGAGGUUGUAACGUUAUUUUCAGAGAGGAAGUUGGUUGUGAAUGGCUCAUCCAAGAAAAUGGAGGGAUGAUAAACCUGAUAAUCCAGGAUGAUUUGUUGUUAUACAAUAGAAGAUUUCCUGCAUGUAAGACGUAUAUAGUAUGGAUACCACUGCCAAGUACAUGUAUCACGCUUUUGCACUUGUCUGCUGUAAUAAACUUUUUUCGAUAUAAUAUUUACAAACAAUAAAACAUGAAUUUCAUCUUAAUUUAAAACUAAAAUGAGUUUUGAAUAUCCUCCAGUGCAAGCCAAAGAUCCUACAUCUAAAUAUACAAAUCACUUUAGAAAGAUAUGUAAUUAAUGCCUAUGCAGGGUGAAAAUAAUGUUCUCUAGUCCAGUUUGAAUAGAUUUUAUGCUCAGCUGUUUUAUUCUGUUUCUUUACUAAUGGUAAAAGCUCCUCUUUGUGUCAUUAUCACUUGGUGAUGAACCAAUUUGAUUUCAGCUUUCUGAACUUUAAUUGUCUUAAGUCUAAUUUAUGUAAGUUAUUAAACCACUUUCAAUUGGAAUGACAUAUGAACAAUGCUUCAACAUUUGAACAAUUCUUUUUGCAGUUUUAAUAAAGAAAUUUUUAACAA